UAAGUGUAUAUGGAGCAUGACCUGCUCAGUGUGUUGGAAGCACUACAUGGAUCAGCUGCCUGAACCAGAGCCGGAGGUGAUCAGCAGGACAACUGCACGACACGGUUGUUAGGCAGCUCCCGUAAGAUGAUGUCACAGAGCUGAAUGAUGUCACAGAGCAUGUGAAGCACAGCUCCUGCAUACAGCUCCGGAAUGCACUGCGAUGGCUCCAGAGGUGUGGCAGGGUUCUUGAUGUGGGACUCCUUGGUACCCCAGUAUCGUUACUAUGAAUUUGCUGCAUGAAAAAUUAAUUUCAAAGCAUUGAAGCAGGAAGUGUCGACUUCUGUUAGUAGAACUUACCUGUCCGAAGAAAGAUCAUUCCAUAAAGGUUGCCAACAACGCUGGAUCUUUGGCCACUGAGAAGACACUGUUUCUCACUGUUUGAAAGCCCUAAUCAAUAAAAAUUCAUACUCAGUUGUCAUGAAACAUGAUUUAAAUUGUAACCAUUUAUGAGCCUAUCAAGACUUCUUACAAUAAACAAUCACAGUUUGUCACAGUGAACAAAUCAUGGAUUGCGUUUUAUUGA